UACGUAGGGUGCGAGCGUUGUCCGGAAUUAUUGGGCGUAAAGAGCUCGUAGGCGGUGUGUCACGUCGGCCGUGAAAACCUGCAGCUUAACUGUGGGCGUGCGGUCGAUACGGGCAUCACUGGAGUUCGGCAGGGGAGACUGGAAUUCCUGGUGUAGCGGUGAAAUGCGCAGAUAUCAGGAGGAACACCGGUGGAGAAGGCGGGUCUCUGGGCCGAUACUGACGCUGAGGAGCGAAAGCGUGGGGAGCAAUCAGG
rnacentral:rRNA from 1 species